AUAUAAGAAGCAUAGUCCAUGUAUCGAACAUCAUCGUGAAAUAUUGAACAAAACAACAAAUAAGCUACUAGAAAUACCAAUACGUACAUAUAUACUUUCACACUAUUCAUCUAUAUAUACACAUAGGUUCACAUUUUUCAUCAAUACAAAUCGAAACAAAAGGUAAACACUAGAAGUCCAACAAUGCCAGCUUCCAUUAAGAGAAUCAAAUCUGCAAAAUGAGAAUAAGAACGUUAAAAGAAGAAGAAGAAGAAAACUAGAAGAAGAAGAAGAACAAGAAGAACAAGAAGAAGACUAGAAGAAGAAGAAGAUGAAACAGAAAGACAAGAAGAUGAAGAAGAAGUAGUAGUAG
rnacentral:lncRNA from 1 species